rnacentral:rRNA from 1 species
UACGUAGGUGGCAAGCGUUGUCCGGAAUUAUUGGGCGUAAAGCGCGCGCAGGCGGUCCUUUAAGUCUGAUGUGAAAGCCCCCGGCUUAACCGGGGAGGGUCAUUGGAAACUGGGGGACUUGAGUGCAGAAGAGAAGAGCGGAAUUCCACGUGUAGCGGUGAAAUGCGUAGAGAUGUGGAGGAACACCAGUGGCGAAGGCGGCUCUUUGGUCUGUAACUGACGCUGAGGCGCGAAAGCGUGGGGAGCAAAC